UUUUCCUUUUCCUUCUCCUCCAAUUUUGAGGAUUGGUCAAGUACUUCGCCCUCAAAGCUUGCUUUUCCAGAUUUUCCGCAAUCUUUCACCAUCUCCGCUCUCCAUGCUUUGUUCGUACGAGUAGGUGUUGUCAAGUCUUUGAUGAUGUGAAGUUUGGAGCUGAAUUUGAAAUUCAAAUUGCAAAGGUAUGGGCUUCAAUGUGUUUCUUAAGAUUUGAUUGUCUAUAAAUACUGGUGUUCAUUCUUGCCUCAGAGGUGGAAGAGCCAUAGCAACCAGCUUUGGACCCCUUCACUGUCACGCCACCUGCUAUGGAACAGGUUCUCAUUUAUUUUAUUCCCGACAUCUUGCUCUUUCCAUUGUAUAUAUCCAAUGUCAUCAAUUCUUGCUAAUGUAAUUGUUUGAAACACCAUAGAGUUCCUGGAUAACCAGUUUUAUUGUUUGUUCAUCAUGUUCAUGUUUAUUUUUAACUUCUUAUUAUCAUGAGAAAAGCUAAAGUCUUCUCAUUGUCUAAUGGCCUAUGAUAUUAAUAACCAACAUACCAAAUAUAAUCAAGAUUCACUGUUGCUGCUUUUGGAGUUUAGAAGGAAGGUUUCAUACAAUUGAUGGACCUCUCCAUCAUAUUCAACUAGUAGGAUAAGAUGAAAUUGUGAUUAUUUCUCUAUUUUGAGGAUGGGUACUUUGUUCCUCAUUUUAUUGAACAGUUUGGAAUGAAUUUUUAAUGUUUUGUGAUUUUGUAAACAUCUACAAAAUGGUAUUUUGUUUUAAAGCUUUGAUUUACAAAGUAUGCCUUUGACAAUAUGUGAACCUUUUCAUUUUGCAGGUUAUAAAGAUUAGAAAAAUUGUGAGGCUUAAAGUCAAAACAGAAAAAAAAGAUUAUGUGGUAACUAAUUAUACAUGUGAGUAUCAAUCUUGGCUUAAAGCUUGAGAAAAUAUACUUACUGCUAUUUCAUUUCUCAUUCAU
rnacentral:lncRNA from 1 species